rnacentral:rRNA from 1 species
CGUGUAGGCGGGAAGGAAAGUCAGAUGUGAAAUCCCUGGGCUCAACCCAGGAACUGCAUUUGAAACUCCCUUUCUUGAGUGUCGGAGAGGAAAGUGGAAUUCCUGGUGUAGAGGUGAAAUUCGUAGAUAUCAGGAGGAACACCGGUGGCGAAGGCGGCUUUCUGGACGACAACUGACGCUGAGACGCGAAAGCGUGGGGAGCAAACA